AUUGAACGCUGGCGGCAGGCUUAACACAUGCAAGUCGAGCGGAGAGAGGUAGCUUGCUACUGAUCUUAGCGGCGGACGGGUGAGUAAUGCUUAGGAAUCUGCCUAUUAGUGGGGGACAACAUUUCGAAAGGAAUGCUAAUACCGCAUACGUCCUACGGGAGAAAGCAGGGGAUCUUUGGGACUUGCGCUAACAGAUGAGCCUAAGUCGGAUUAGCUAGUUGGUGGAGUAAAGGCCUACCAAGGCGACGAUCUGUAGCGGGUCUGAGAGGAUGAUCCGCCACACUGGGACUGAGACACGGCCCAGACUCCUACGGGAGGCAGCAGUGGGGAAUAUUGGACAAUGGGCGCAAGCCUGAUCCAGCCAUGCCGCGUGUGUGAAGAAGGCCUUAUGGUUGUAAAGCACUUUAAGCGAGGAGGAGGCUACUUUAGUUAAUACCUAGAGAUAGUGGACGUUACUCGCAGAAUAAGCACCGGCUAACUCUGUGCCAGCAGCCGCCGCGGUA
rnacentral:rRNA from 1 species